rnacentral:tRNA from 2 species
GGAAGGGUGGCCGAGUUGGUUAUGGCGCCAGGUUAAGGUCAGCUUAACAUCUGUUUCCUGGUGGGGCAAACUGCGCGAGUUCGAGUCUCGUCCCUUUCA